UCAGUUUGACCUUGAAUUUGAGCUCUGGGUACCUCAUUUUGAAGCCCAUACUCUUGUUAAGCUAUACUGUCUCUUGAAACAGAGGGUUUUUAUGACUUUCACUCUAUAAAAAUGAAACCUUCUCUCUCGCUUUGCCCACCGGUACUAACGAAAGGGGAAUAAAUUUCUAUGUUUCUCUCGAUGCACACUACAUCACACCUUAUCCACCUGCACUGAAAAAUUGUGCAGAAUGUCAGGACCACCAGCUAAGAAACGAUGUCGUUCAGCUGAAGAGGAUGUUAGAGAAUUUCAAAAAUACUGGACAGAAAAGUUUGGUGUGAUUAAGAAAGACAACAAAGCCUUAUGUGUUUUCUGUUCUGAAACUAUUGUUUGCAGAACAUCUUCUGUUAAAAGGCAUUUUGAAAGUGUUCAUAAGAACAUAAGCAAUAAAACCGAAGAGGAACAAAGAGAAUUAAUUUCUCGUGAACUCAG